rnacentral:rRNA from 1 species
GUGCCAGCAGCCGCGGUAAUACGAAGGGGGCGAGCGUUGUUCGGAUUUACUGGGCGUAAAGGGCGCGUAGGCGGCAGAUCAAGUCAGGCGUGAAAGCCCCGGGCUCAACCUGGGAAUUGCGCUUGGGACUGGUUUGCUAGAGUUCGGGAGAGGAGAGUGGAAUUCCCAGUGUAGAGGUGAAAUUCGUAGAUAUUGGGAAGAACACCGGUGGCGAAGGCGGCUCUCUGGACCGAGACUGACGCUGAGGCGCGAAAGCGUGGGGAGCAAACAGGAUUAGAUACCCUGGUAGUCCACGCCGUAAACGAUGUGUGCUAGACGUUGGGGAGCCUAGCUCUUCGGUGUCGCAGCUAACGCGGUAAGCACACCGCCUGGGGAGUACGGCCGCAAGGUUAAA